AUAUAUGUCUCAAUCAUUGGUUGGCAUGUUUAUUAAGUCUCUUGUAAGUAUUGCUUUUCCUUCUCAUUUUUUUCUUCUUUCAUUCUUCUCAAGGAAGAAUUCUUGAAAUGUUUUUGGUGCAAAGAGGUGGUUUUAUUAGAGCAGGGGGACAGGACCUGUGGACAGAAAGUACGGCACUGGGAUUGUGAAGAGCAAUUGAUAUAUAUUUUUAAGUUGGAGGUGGGGGGGGAUGAAAGAAGUUUCCAAAAAGAUUUUCAUAUGACUUACAGGGUUUGGGAUCUGGCUAUUGGCAAGCUAAGGUUUGCUAAGGUUGCUUUUUGCCUCUAGCAAAGCAUUAACAUUAGGUUGUUGAGAGUUCCUUGAGGAAUGUCUUACUCUCCUGGGCCUCAAGCAUUUGUCAAUGGGCUUCAAGUUGUAAGUUGACUUAAUUUUAUCUACAUUUUUUAUGCCUUUGUUUUUGUCAUCAGAUAUAUUCUCCUUUCAUUUUGGCCGCAGGACCAAGUGCAGAGUGGACUCCUUCUGGAUGUUGUAGUCGGACAGGGUGCACCCAUCUUCUAGCUGUUUGCCGGCAAAGAUCAACCUCUGCUGGUCAGGUGAAGGACCAGGUGCAGAGUGGACUCCUUCUGGAUGUUGUAGUCGGACAGGACGGAUGCUUCCAAUUCAAAUUCAGUUACUCCGAUUGUAAUAUCCUGGUUCUCCGGGCUCCUGGGUGGCUCAGUCAGUUAAACACCUGCCUUCGGUUUGGGUCGUAAUUCCCAAAUCCUGGAAUCCAGCCUCCAGUAGGGCUUACCACUCAGUGGGGAGCCUGCUUCUCCCUCUGUCUCUGCCUACCUACCACUCCCCUCUCCUUGUGCUCUCUCUGUCAAAUAAAUAAAUAAAUAAAUAAUAAUAAAUAAAUAAAUAAAGUCUUUAAAAAAUAAAAACAACAACAAAAUAAAAGCCUGGUUCCCAACUCAAACCAUCAUACUUACUCAUUUGCUUUAUCCAAAAUAUAGACAAUAGUUUCAGAAUAAUAAUUGCA
rnacentral:lncRNA from 1 species